rnacentral:lncRNA from 1 species
UUGACUGCACUUGAAGUGCUGGACAACUCGAUCCGGUUGGUGCUUGAGGUGGCUCAGCACUUGGGUGAGAACAUGGUCAGGACCAUUGCUAUGGAUGGUACUGAAGGGCUUGUCAGAGGACAGCGCGUGCUCAACACCGGUUCUCCUAUCACUGUAAGCUAUAUAUACGAUUGUUUCCCGGUCCGCGCUUACUGAUUUUACCUCCUAGGCCAUGGUUGUCACUAGAUUUGAUGAGAAAUGUUAGGGUUUCGUUAUGUUUGAUGGGAAACUGUUGACUUUGAUGCUUUUAUGAAUGGGAAUGUGUUGGGUUUUGAUUGAUUUAUGAAUUGUUGCUGGGGUUUUCAGAUCUGGAAGUUAUUAUUGUUUUUCUCUCUGGUACAUUUUCUCUUAGUAGAAUCGUUGCUGAGUGAUUUACAUUUCUGGCUUCUGCUGUUCAAAGCUUUAAUAUUUUAGGCCCUUUUUAGGGUUCAAGUAAUACAUUGACCGUUAGCUAUUAAAUUUAAACAUGUCUUCAUUGGCUAGAUUUUCUUCGGAUUUUAUGUGGUCAAAUUGUGAUCUUUUCUUUGGCAUUUCCCUUUUUUGUCUAUAAUCUAGAUCAUUCAGCACUCUUUUUUGUUGUAAUUGAUGUGUUUAUUUUUUUGAAUUUAGUUUCAGUUUUCAAAUUUGUUUUUCCUUGAAUUCUGACUUAUAUUUUGGUAUUUAUUUGCCUUUUUAGGUGCCUGUUGGUAGGGCUACCCUUGGUCGAAUCAUGAAUGUCAUCGGAGAGCCCAUUGAUGAGAGAGGCGAUAUGAGUAAGAAAUUUAGAAACCUUUAAAAACAAAUCACUUGGUUAAGUAGUUGUGUGAAUAGUUUACUGCAACAUGUCAAAUACAUGCCACGCAAGUUUCUGACAAUUUCUUUGUGAAUACUCCAACAGAAACCGAUCACUUUCUGCCCAUCCAUAGAGAAGCUCCUGCCUUUGUUGAGCAAGCAACUGAA